GUAGUAUUCCCUCCGUCCCAAAAUUCUUGUCUUACAUUUGUUUAGAUACGGAUGUAUCUAACACUAAAAUGUAACUAGACACAUCCGUAUUUAGACAAAUUUAAGACAAGAAUUUUGGGACGGAGGGAGUACAAA
rnacentral:pre_miRNA from 1 species